rnacentral:antisense_RNA from 1 species
CUUGAUUGAGCCUAGCAGCAGCGGGGCGGCCGCACCCCGCUGUCCGUAGGUGGCGAGCAGGGCCUGCGCCUC